rnacentral:misc_RNA from 1 species
GCCAAUUGUGGGCAAUUUGUUCCAGGUUUUUCAGUCCGCUUGGAAUGGUUCCAGUCAUUUCAUUAGUGGGUUUUGGUCUGUUUGAUAGAGGCUUCCCUGUGGUUGGGCGGUGCGUGGAGAUUGGCAUUCCCAUGCUUAUCCUAUUCAUAUCCUUCUCCCAGUACUUAAAGAACUUUCAGACAAGACAACUACCAAUACUUGAGCGGUUU